UACGUAGGGCGCGAGCGUUGUCCGGAUUUAUUGGGCGUAAAGAGCUCGUAGGCGGCUUGUUAAGUCGAACGUGAAAUCCCCGGGCUCAACCCGGGAACUGCGUCCGAUACUGGCAGGCUUGAAUCCGGGAGAGGGAUGCGGAAUUCCAGGUGUAGCGGUGAAAUGCGUAGAUAUCUGGAGGAACACCGGUGGCGAAGGCGGCAUCCUGGACCGGCAUUGACGCUGAGGCGCGAAAGCCAGGGGAGCAAACGGG
rnacentral:rRNA from 1 species